AGUUCACAAUUUGAGUGUAAUGUAAUCAAAGCCCAAAAACAAAAAUAGAAAUUUGAUUAUGCAUCAGUAGCUAUCAUCGUUUUUAUUAUAAUAUCAAAUUGAUCCAGAUAUCCAGAAAUCAGCUCCCUGCAAUGUAUAAACGGAUAUUUUGAUAUUCUUUUAUUUUCAAUAGGUUGACAAGAUAUAUCAAAAAAACUAUAUGGAAACAAAAUGAAUUUACUAGAGAUCACCAAAUUAAAACUUUACGCUCCAUGUUCUUUGUCCAUUUUAUCAAGGCAUUCCAUCGAAGCUUCAUUGCCCACUGCAAAACGGAGAAACACAUCUCUCGAUUAUCAAACAAAGAAUUAUAUCAAAAAAUAAUACAAAACAAAAUCUUGAUGAGUAAAAGAAGAGUCGAGAGAAGUUUGAUUGUGUGAAUUCUGAGAGCAUAUCUGGACGUAAAUCAAAAUCAUAUCCUCUCUAGCAACACCUAAGAAUAAAUAACAAAUCAUGAAAUAUAUGCUCUCUGAAUCGAUAAAAGAUUGAAACAAAAAGAAUUUACUAGAGAUCACCAAAUGACUAUUGCCUCUGUGCUCUUGUCCAUUUUAUGAACGCAUUCUAGACAUCAAAAU
rnacentral:lncRNA from 1 species